rnacentral:rRNA from 1 species
UACGUAGGGACCGAGCGUUGUCCGGAUUCAUUGGGCGUAAAGAGCUCGUAGGCGGCUAUUCAAGUCGAACGUGAAAUCUCGGAGCUCAACUCCGAAACUGCGUUCGAUACUGGGUAGCUAGAGUCUGGUAGGGGGAUCUGGAAUUCCUGGUGUAGCGGUGAAAUGCGCAGAUAUCAGGAGGAACACCGGUGGCGAAGGCGGGUCUCUGGGCAACAACUGACGCUGAGGAGCGAAAGCGUGGGGAGCGAACAGG